CUCAGGACGAACGCUGGCGGCGUGCCUAAUACAUGCAAGUAGAACGCUGAAGAGAGGAGCUUGCUCUUCUUGGAUGAGUUGCGAACGGGUGAGUAACGCGUAGGUAACCUGCCUUGUAGCGGGGGAUAACUAUUGGAAACGAUAGCUAAUACCGCAUAACAAUGGAUGACACAUGUCAUUUAUUUGAAAGGGGCAAAUGCUCCACUACAAGAUGGACCUGCGUUGUAUUAGCUAGUAGGUGAGGUAACGGCUCACCUAGGCGACGAUACAUAGCCGACCUGAGAGGGUGAUCGGCCACACUGGGACUGAGACACGGCCCAGACUCCUACGGGAGGCAGCAGUAGGGAAUCUUCGGCAAUGGGGGCAACCCUGACCGAGCAACGCCGCGUGAGUGAAGAAGGUUUUCGGAUCGUAAAGCUCUGUUGUAAGUCAAGAACGAGUGUGAGAGUGGAAAGUUCACACUGUGACGGUAGCUUACCAGAAAGGGACGGCUAACUACGUGCCAGCAGCCGCGGUAAUACGUAGGUCCCGAGCGUUGUCCGGAUUUAUUGGGCGUAAAGCGAGCGCAGGCGGUUUGAUAAGUCUGAAGUUAAAGGCUGUGGCUCAACCAUAGUUCGCUUUGGAAACUGUCAAACUUGAGUGCAGAAGGGGAGAGUGGAAUUCCAUGUGUAGCGGUGAAAUGCGUAGAUAUAUGGAGGAACACCGGUGGCGAAAGCGGCUCUCUGGUCUGUAACUGACGCUGAGGCUCGAAAGCGUGGGGAGCGAACAGGAUUAGAUACCCUGGUAGUCCACGCCGUAAACGAUGAGUGCUAGGUGUUGGAUCCUUUCCGGGAUUCAGUGCCGCAGCUAACGCAUUAAGCACUCCGCCUGGGGAGUACGACCGCAAGGUUGAAACUCAAAGGAAUUGACGGGGGCCCGCACAAGCGGUGGAGCAUGUGGUUUAAUUCGAAGCAACGCGAAGAACCUUACCAGGUCUUGACAUCCCGAUGCUAUUUCUAGAGAUAGAAAGUUACUUCGGUACAUCGGUGACAGGUGGUGCAUGGUUGUCGUCAGCUCGUGUCGUGAGAUGUUGGGUUAAGUCCCGCAACGAGCGCAACCCCUAUUGUUAGUUGCCAUCAUUCAGUUGGGCACUCUAGCGAGACUGCCGGUAAUAAACCGGAGGAAGGUGGGGAUGACGUCAAAUCAUCAUGCCCCUUAUGACCUGGGCUACACACGUGCUACAAUGGUUGGUACAACGAGUUGCGAGUCGGUGACGGCAAGCUAAUCUCUUAAAGCCAAUCUCAGUUCGGAUUGUAGGCUGCAACUCGCCUACAUGAAGUCGGAAUCGCUAGUAAUCGCGGAUCAGCACGCCGCGGUGAAUACGUUCCCGGGCCUUGUACACACCGCCCGUCACACCACGAGAGUUUGUAACACCCGAAGUCGGUGAGGUAACCUUUUGGAGCCAGCCGCCUAAGGUGGG
rnacentral:rRNA from 1 species